rnacentral:lncRNA from 1 species
AGCACAUGGCUUAGCCGGGAAUCCUCUGCGCUGGGUCAGUGAGGAGCCUAUAGCCUCCCACACAGACUCCCAGGAAACAGAUGGGCAGAAGUGAGGGCUGCAUUCGCCCCGGCCCUCUUCUUCAGAGGGAGGCCCCGCAGUAACAUUCUUUUAUGGGUCAGAUGCUGCUGAGGUUUCAACCUAUCCCAAACUGUUGCAGCAUGUAACUGACGAAACUGCAGGCUCCCCAAAGGAUCAGACACUAGGGAGCCACAAAAGGAGGUGAAUCCCAUUCUCAUUUUUGCAGUAUCCAAGAGCUGGAUGCCUACAUGAUGCAGUCCACAGUGGCUGAGCACCUUCUGUCCCUGGGAUCUCAGACUCUGCCUGCCACAGAGCAGAUGACUGGAAAACCCUCCCCACUUGCUGUCAUCAUUCCUGAAAGGUCUUCAGGUGUGCCAGCAAUUUUCAGAGUGAAUAUCUACACCAGAAAAGCACAUAACUACCAUGAGCAUAAGAUGUGGGAGUGCCACGGAGUGACCAUAGGAGUAUAGACAGUGUGCUAGUCACAGGCUGUUAGGCAAUUGGCUUUCCUGGGU